rnacentral:pre_miRNA from 1 species
UGUGCACCAGUGGGGUCCUUCGGCCUGGCCUGCACCCUCUCACAAUCCAGGACCCCUCAGGGGAUGUCAGAGAGCCAGUUUCAGCCAGAUCCCUGCAGGCCAGGCCGAGGGACCCCACUGGUGCACG